rnacentral:rRNA from 1 species
AUUGAACGCUGGCAGCAGGCUUAACACAUGCAAGUCGAGCGGGGGAAGGUAGCUUGCUACUGGACCUAGCGGCGGACGGGUGAGUAAUGCUUAGGAAUCUGCCUAUUAGUGGGGGACAACAUCUCGAAAGGGAUGCUAAUACCGCAUACGUCCUACGGGAGAAAGCAGGGGAUCUUCGGACCUUGCGCUAAUAGAUGAGCCUAAGUCGGAUUAGCUAGUUGGUGGGGUAAAGGCCUACCAAGGCGACGAUCUGUAGCGGGUCUGAGAGGAUGAUCCGCCACACUGGGACUGAGACACGGCCCAGACUCCUACGGGAGGCAGCAGUGGGGAAUAUUGGACAAUGGGGGGAACCCUGAUCCAGCCAUGCCGCGUGUGUGAAGAAGGCCUUAUGGUUGUAAAGCACUUUAAGCGAGGAGGAGGCUACUCUAGUUAAUACCUAGGGAUAGUGGACGUUACUCGCAGAAUAAGCACCGGCUAACUCAGUGCCAGCAGCCGCCGUAA